UAGGGAAUCUUCCACAAUGGACGCAAGUCUGAUGGAGCAACGCCGCGUGAGUGAAGAAGGUCUUCGGAUCGUAAAGCUCUGUUGUUGGUGAAGAAGGAUAGAGGCAGUAACUGGUCUUUAUUUGACGGUAAUCAACCAGAAAGUCACGGCUAACUACGUGCCAGCAGCCGCGGUAAUACGUAGGUGGCAAGCGUUGUCCGGAUUUAUUGGGCGUAAAGCGAGCGCAGGCGGAAUGAUAAGUCUGAUGUGAAAGCCCACGGCUCAACCGUGGAACUGCAUCGGAAACUGUCAUUCUUGAGUGCAGAAGAGGAGAGUGGAACUCCAUGUGUAGCGGUGGAAUGCGUAGAUAUAUGGAAGAUCACCAGGUGGCGAAGGCGGCUCUCU
rnacentral:rRNA from 1 species